rnacentral:rRNA from 1 species
UGUUCGGGUUGUCACGCCAGUGGCAUUGCCCGGUAGCUACGUUCGGACGGGAUAACCGCUGAAAGCAUCUAAGCGGGAAGCCUCUUCCAAGAUGAGAUCUCCCCGGGGACUCGAUCCCCCUGAAGGGUUGUUCAAGACCAGGACGUUGAUAGGUGGGGUGUGUAAGCGCUGUGAGGCGUUGAGCUAACCCAUACUAAUUGCCCGUGCGGCUUGACCAU